UCGAGGAUCUUCGGCAAUGGGCGCAAGCCUGACCGAGCGACGCCGCGUGGAGGAUGAAGGCCUUCGGGUUGUAAACUCCUGUCGAGGGGGAUCAAGGCGCAAGCUUGAGAGAUCCCUGGAGGAAGCACGGGCUAAGUUCGUGCCAGCAGCCGCGGUAAGACGAACCGUGCAAACGUUGUUCGGAAUCACUGGGCUUAAAGGGCGCGUAGGCGGCUUGCCAAGUCGGGGGUGAAAUCCAGCAGCUUAACUGUUGAAGUGCCUUCGAUACUGGCAAGCUCGAGGAAGGUAGGGGUAUGUGGAACUUCUGGUGGAGCGGUGAAAUGCGUUGAUAUCAGAAGGAACGCCGGUGGCGAAAGCGACGUACUGGACCUUUUCUGACGCUGAGGCGCGAAAGCUAGGGGAGCAAACGGGAUUAGAUACCCCCGUAGUCC
rnacentral:rRNA from 1 species